rnacentral:rRNA from 1 species
GCUGAACGCUGACAGAAUGCUUAACAAAUCAGCAAUUGAUUGGUGGCAGACGGGUGAGUAACGCGUAAAGAACUUACCUCACAGUUAGGGACAACAUUUGGAAACGAAUGCUAAUACCUAAUACUGUGAGAGAGCUUUUCGUCCCAUUAGCUAGUUGGAGAGGUAACGGCUCACCAAGCGGAUGAUGGGUAGCCGGCCUGAGCGGGUGAUCGGCCACAAGGUGACUGAGACAUGGCCCUUACUCCUACGGGAGGCAGCAUUGGGGAAUAUUGGACAAUGGACCAAAGUCUGAUCCAGCAAUUCUGUGUGCACGAUGAAGUUUUCGGAAUGUAAAGUGCUUUCAGUUGGGAAGCGGUACCAACAGAAGAAGUGACGGCUAAAUACGUGCCAGCAGCCGCGGUAAUUC